CUUUUGACUCGAUAAUCUAGUAGGUACCUAACUAUCUUUAAAUCCAACUUGUAACUUGUGCCUAAAGAAAAAUAUUUAUAUUCUUAUAUCUACAAUGUCUAAAAACGUAAAUAUUCUUCUUGUGUUAUCAUUCGUAUUGUUCAUAUAUUUAAAUUCAAUUUAUUCACUACCAAUUGAAGUUAUAUUGAAAGGAAGAAAUAAUUCGAUAGAUAAACCAACAGAUGGUGCUUUAGCUAGUAUUAUUAAUGUCCCAUGUAAAGAGGGUUACAUUUACAUAAUGGGAGAAUGUAGAAAAAUUUAUGAGAGAAUUAAUUGAGGUUCUAUAUGAACGUGUUCUUAGUUGCAGUGUUUCUAUCUUUGACUCCAAGUAAAUUUGUAUUUUUUGUUAUUUUUGUUUAUUAUGCUGCAUAUUAAUAAUAAAUAAUAAUACAAUUUAAA